AUGUUUUGGUUAGAUCGUUUGGGUGGAUGGAACCCCUCUUUGCUCGGGGUUCCCUGCCUUGUUCCCAUUUGCGGGAAUCAUUUGCUAUUAGUCUUGGAAGCUCGCCAAAAUGGACAGUGGAACAUCGUGUUCUGUCGCUCACUUGGCCCGGCAGAGGUGUUAGAGUGGUCCAAUCUACUCGAGACCCUACCUCCGGUGUUGGCUAACAAGCCUGAUUCGACGCUUUGGCGCCUCUCUCCCUCGGGAGUUUUUUUGGUGGCUUCAGCAUAUCGGGCGUUGUGCCGGAGUCCGACGAUUCAGUGGGUGGCGCCCCUUUGGAAGGCGCCUCUCCCCUUGAAGAUUAAAAUUUUUGUCUGGUAACUACUGAGAGAUCGCCUCCCGUCCGGGACGGAGGUGCUCAAGUGACAUGGCCCGGGUAAUGGGUUCUGCCCCUUGUGUGGUGUCCCGGAUAAUGGGAUCCAUAUCCUCUUUUCUUGCACGGCGGCUAGAUUGCUAUGGAGCUAUGUCUAGGAAGCACUCGGACCCAACUUGCUAGCUUCCUCCAGGCCAGAGCACUGCAGACUGGGAGGCAAAGACGCCUCUUCUGGCUGGUCUUUGUUGCGACACGCCUCUGAUGCUUUCUUCAAAUUUAUCACAUUCCUGCAGCACUGGCACCCGUUGGCUAGGCAACGGGACCAGGCACGCCUUGGGCGGAUGCUGAAUGCACUUCAGGCCACUGCUCGUCAACUUGCUCCGUCUAUGACCGCUUGA
rnacentral:rRNA from 1 species